UCGCUGGCCACCCAGUGAGAG
rnacentral:misc_RNA from 1 species